rnacentral:lncRNA from 1 species
UAUUAUUAACUACUUGAUGAAUAAUAAAAUCACAUACUUCAUCAUUUAAAAUAAAAUUAAAGAUGUGAGCUAAUGAAGCACCCUUGUUCCCAUGAAUUUAUUUAAAAAUCAAAUGUGUUUGUUUACUUUGAUCUCUUAAAAAGCUGAAAGUUGCAAAAAAGAUGAAAAAUAAAAAUGAAAUCUAAAUACUUGCUACGUAAUCAAAGUUAUUAAAAUUAUUGUGCACUAAACAAAGAAGAAUUGAUACGGUUAUAUUUUUAAUAAGAUUAAUUAUUAUUAUUAUUAUUAUUUCGCGAUGGAAAAUUUCUGUACAAAUUUGAAAAUCAUUUUCGAAGGAAAAUCUUUUUUCUGGAUUGGAUUGGAAAAAGGAAUGGAUUCAGGGGUCCCAUAGGCAUGAGCAGUCGUUUUAACUUGGAAAGUCGUACAUAUAAUAAACUCAAAAACAGUUCAAAACACCCGACUUGUCAAAGCCUUAACUAAUUUUGCAGGUACCCAAAUGGAAAAUGCAAAGCAAUUGACGGAUGAUAUGUUGUUAUUUAACUUAAAAUAAUUAUCACAACUUUUGAUAACCUCGAUCACGUGAAGAGCACUAUCCCCCUAUCCCCCUAUCCCAUUCCCAUGACAAUAAAGUCUACAGAAAUCGACCAGCCUCGUUUUGUUUGUGAUAGGCCAAAGGACAAUUGAGUAUGCCUGCAACUUGCCAACUUGGCUUCUAAAAAACAUAUAUUUUUAGAGCCGGAAGCAAGCUUUAAACAUAAAGACAAGCUUUAAAGCGCAGAGGCGUCCGUCAAUAUACAGUGGCUGUAUCUCAUACAGCCACUUGUUAUU